rnacentral:misc_RNA from 1 species
AACGGUCUAUACCUGCGGUACCUGCGGAAGGAUCAUUACCGAGUUUACAACUCCCAAACCCAAUGUGAACGUUACCAAACUGUUGCCUCGGCGGGAUCUCUGCCCCGGGUGCGUCGCAGCCCCGGACCAAGGCGCCCGCCGGAGGACCAACCAAAAACUCUUUUUGUAUACCCCCUCGCGGGUUUUUUAUAUCUGAGCCUUUCUCGGCGCCCCUUCGUGGGCGUUUCGAAAAUGAAUCAA